AAGGCAUUACUGACUUGCUGCAUCAUGAAAUGCUAUCUGUGAGACUGUUCCAUUGAUCAAAUGUGGUAAUGUCGUGAUCCUUUCUGCUACUAAUGCUUAUGAAGUGGAAAAACAGUGGAAUUGUCUCCUAGAAUCGGCAAACACCCCCUUAGUCCAGUUGGCGCCAUUCUUCUCAAAGCAUCUUAGCACUAUGCUAUCAGACGUUUAACUUUCAGAAACUCUGUCCAGAUUGUGCCUUGACUAUCCAGAUCUAAGCAUAAGUUGUCACCGCAAGGCUAGAACAGGGCCUCUCAUCAUCAAUUUUACUGGAAAGGACCAGAUGAGAGUUGAGUUGGCUGUGAAGGUGGUUUCUCAGAAGUAUCAUGGAGCAUUUUCUGAAUUCAAUUUUGAGGGAGUUUUAAAGAAUUCAAAAGGAAGAGCUGUUUUUUCUCAAUAGGUGAUGCGCAGAUGUGUUCAACUGAUCAUUCGGAGGACCAAGUUUACUUCACCAGAAUCUAGGUGGUGUCAUUUCUCCAAGACAAAUAUACCAAGAAAUUGUUGGAGCACAUCACACGGAAGUAGUUGCAUAUGGAAUACAAUGCCUGGAGCUUUGAUUCGGAAUUCUCUGCUUUCCCCUGUUAAAUUGCUCUGUUAUUUUCUUUUUCGGUUUUUUUUUAGACAAAAGAUGAAAGAAUUAUCAUAUAGUUAUUUGUAUGACUUGACAAUCAAUGUGUCAUUCUAAUAACCAGAGAUCUCAUUAAACUCU